rnacentral:lncRNA from 1 species
UAAGCAAGCUUUAAUCAAAUUCAAAGAAAUUUCAAAGAAACAAUAAGAAAACUUAAAGAAAUAUUAGAAUGAUCACAAAUAUAUCUCAAAUACAUCUCAAUUCAAUCUUCAUUUAAUCCUAAUUAAAAUCCUAUUGGUCUUCAUUCAAAUUUUAGGCCAAACUAAUUAAAUCUUAAACCCUAAUCAAAUCCUUAUAAAAUCCUAAACUCUAAAUCAAAUCCUAAACCCUAAAUCCUAAACCAAACCAUAACCAAAUCAUAAAUCAAAUUCUAUCCAAAUCCAAAAUCCUAAACCAAACUCUAAAUCCUAAAUCAAACCCUAAACAAAUCUUAAAUCAAACCUCAACCAAAUCCUAAAUCCUAAAUAAAUUCCUAACCAAACCCUAAAUCCUAAAUGAAAUCCUAAUCAAACUCUGAAUCCUACAUCAAAUCCUAUCCAAAUCCUAAACAAACCUUAAAUCGAACUCCAAUCAAAUCCUAAUCAAAAUCUAAAUCCUAAAUUAAACCCUAACCAAACUCUAAAUCCUAAAUCAAAUCCUAACCAAAUCCUAAAUAAAUCUUAAACCAAAUCCAAACCAAAUCCUAAACCAAAUUCUAAAUCCUAAAUCAAACGCUAACCAAAUUCUAAAUCCUAAAUAAAAUCCUAACCAAAUCCUAA